GGAACGUUGAAGACGACGACGUUGAUAGGCCGGAUGUGUAAGCGCAGCGAUGCGUUGAGCUAACCGGUACUAAUGAACCGUGAGGCUUAACCUUACAACGCCGAAGCUGUU
rnacentral:rRNA from 1 species